UUAUAGUUUAGUGGCGGACGGGUGAGUAACACGUGAGCAACCUGCCUUCGAGAGGGGAAUAACGGCUGGAAACGGUCGCUAAUACCGCAUAACAUACGGGAGGGACAUCCCUUUUGUAUCAAAGAUUUAUCGCUCGAAGAUGGGCUCGCGUCCGAUUAGGUAGUUGGUGAGGUAACGGCCCACCAAGCCGACGAUCGGUAGCCGGACUGAGAGGUUGAACGGCCACAUUGGGACUGAGACACGGCCCAGACUCCUACGGGAGGCAGCAG
rnacentral:rRNA from 1 species